CCGAAUGGGGAAACCCACGUGCAUAAGCACGUAUCAUUAACUGAAUACAUAGGUUAAUGAGGCGAACCGGGGGAACUGAAACACCUAAGUACCCCGAGGAAAAGAAAUCAACCGAGAUUCCGAAAGUAGCGGCGAGCGAAAUUGGACUAGCCCUUAAGCUUUAUAUGCGUUAGACGAACAGCCUGGAAAGGCCGGCGAUACAGGGUGAUAGCCCCGUAGUCGACAACGCACAUUCAGUGAAAUCGAGUAGGGCGGGACACGUGAUAUCCUGUCUGAAUAUGGGGGGACCAUCCUCCAAGGCUAAAUC
rnacentral:rRNA from 1 species